rnacentral:rRNA from 1 species
CACGUAGGGCGCAAGCGUUGUCCGGAAUUAUUGGGCGUAAAGAGCUCGUAGGCGGUCUGUCGCGUCUGCCUGUGAAAACUCGGGGCUUAACCCCGGGCCUGCAGUGGGUACGGGCAGACUAGAGUGCGGUAGGGGAGACUGGAAUUCCUGGUGUAGCGGUGAAAUGCGCAGAUAUCAGGAGGAACACCGGUGGCGAAGGCGGGUCUCUGGGCAGUGAACUGACGUGAGGAGCGAAAGCGUGGGUAGCAAACAGGAUUAGACUACCCCGUGU